UCGCUGGUGGUCCAGUGGUUAGGACUCAGUGCUUUUGCUGCUAAGGGCACAGGUUCAAUCCCUGGUUGGGGAA
rnacentral:tRNA from 1 species